ensembl:lncRNA
CCAGUUCUCAUCUGGCUCCUGUGUCAUACUGAGGGAUUUACUAGUGCCACAGCUGAUGGACAUUUAAUGAAUGAAUUCAACAAUAACACAGAUGAUUGAUCUUCAAUUAGACAGUUUUAAUUGACACAAUGUAUCUACACAGUGAAAAGCAUUCAUUAUUUCCCCACUCCAGAAGUCUGCUCUACGUCUGCUCCCGUGAACUGCUAGCAUUAUAUGUGAGUUAAACUCUGUUAAACUCAGAGGAGUUGAUUUGGACACAGCGAGUUUGGGGGGUACCAAAGGGCAUCACAGUAGAGUCCUCUAGAAGUGUUGAUAAUAGAGUCCUCUAGAUGUGUUGUAAUAAUAGAGUCCUCUAGAAGUGUUAAUAGUAGAGUCCUCUAGAUGUGUUGAUAAUAGAGUCCUCUAGAAGUGUUAAUAGUAGAGUCCUCUAGAAGUGUUGAUAAUAGAGUCCUCUAGAAGUGUUAAUAAUAGAGUCCUCUAGACAUCUUGUAAUAAUAGAAUCCUCUAGAUGUGUUAAUAAUAGAGUCCUCUAGAAGUGUUAAUAUUAGAGUCUUCUAGAUGUGUUGAUAAUAGAGUCCUCUAGAAGUGUUAAUAUUAGAGACCUCUAGAUGUGUUGAUAAUAGAGUCCUCUAGAAGUGUUGAUAAUAGAGUCCUCUAGAAGUGUUGAUAAUAGAGUCCUCUAGAAGUAUUAAUAUUAGAGUCCUCUAGAAGUGUUGAUAAUAGAGUCCUCUAGAAGUGUUAAUAAUAGAAUCCUCUAGACAUGUUGUAAUAUUAGAGUCCUCUAGACCUGUUGAUAAUAGAGUCCUCUAGAAGUGUUGAUAAUAUAGUCCUCUAGAAGUGUUAAUAAUAGAGUCCUCUAGAAGUGUUAAUAAUAUAAUCCUCUAGACAUGUUGUAAUAAUAGAGUCCUCUAGAAGUGUCAAUAUUAGAGUCCUCUAUAUGUGUUGUAAUAAUAGAGUCCUCUAGAUGUGUUAAUAUUAGAGACCUCUAGAUGUGUUGAUAAUAGAGUCCUCUAGAAGUGUUGAUAAUAGAGUCCUCUAGAAGUAUUAAUAUUAGAGUCCUCUAGAAGUGUUCAUAAUAGAGUCCUCUAGAAGUGUUAAUAAUAGAAUCCUCUAGACAUGUUGUAAUAUUAGAGUCCUCUAGACCUGUUGAUAAUAGAGUCCUCUAGAAGUGUUGAUAAUAUAGUCCUCUAGAAGUGUUAAUAAUAGAGUCCUCUAGAAGUGUUGAUAAUAGAGUCCUCUAUACGUGUUGAUAAUAGAGUCCUCUAGAUGUGUCAAUAAUAGAGUCCUCUAGAAGUGUUGAUAAUAUAGUCCUCUAGAAGUGUUGAUAAUAGAGUCCUCUAGAAGUGUUGAUAAUAGAGUCCUCUAGAAGUAUUAAUAUUAGAGUUCUCUAGAAGUGUUGAUAAUAGAGUCCUCUAGAAGUGUUAAUAAUAGAAUCCUCUAGACAUGUUGUAAUAUUAGAGUCCUCUAGACCUGUUGAUAAUAGAGUCCUCUAGAAGUGUUGAUAAUAUAGUCCUCUAGAAGUGUUAAUAAUAGAGUCCUCUAGAAGUGUUGAUAAUAGAGUCCUCUAUACGUGUUGAUAAUAGAGUCCUCUAGAUGUGUCAAUAAUAGAGUCCUCUAGAAGUGUUGAUAAUAUAGUCCUCUAGAAGUGUUGAUAAUAGAGUCCUCUAGAAGUGUUAAUAAUAGAGUCCUCUAGAAGUGUUGAUAAUAGAGUCCUCUAGAAGUGUUGAUAAUAUAGUCCUCUAGAAGUGUUGAUAAUAUAGUCCUCUAGAAGUGUUGAUAAUAGAGUCCUCUAGAAGUGUUGAUAAUAGAGUCCUCUAGAAGUAUUAAUAAUAGAGUCCUCUAGAAGUGUUGAUAACAGAGUCCUUUAGAAGUGUUGAUAAUAGAGUCCUCUAGAUGUGUCAAUAAAAUAGUCCUCUAGACAUGUUAAUAAUAGUCCUCUAGAUGUGUCAAUAAUAGAGUCCUCUAGACGUGUCAAUAAUAGAGUCUUAUAGAAGUGUUAAUAAUAGAGUCUUCUAGACGUGUUGAUAAUAGAGUCCUCUAGAUGUGUCAAUAAUAGAGUCCUCUAGAUAAGUUAAUAAUAGAGUCCUCUAGAAGUGUUAAUAAUAGAGUCCUCUAGAAGUGUUAAUAAUAGAGUCCUCUAGAAGUGUUAAUAAUAGAGUCCUCUAGAUGUGUUGAUAAUAGAGUCCUCUAGAUGUGUCAAUAAUAGAGUCCUCUAGAUGUGUCAAUAAUAGAGUCCUCUAGAAGUGUUAAUAAUAGAGUCCUCUAGAAGUGUUGAUAAUAGAGUCCUUUGGAAGUGUUGAUAAUAGAGUCCUCUAGAUGUGUCAAUAAAAGAGUCCUCUAGACAUGUUAAUAAUAGUCCUCUAGAUGUGUCAAUAAUAGAGUCCUCCCACUCCAAUUUGCUUACCGCCCAAAUAGGUCCACAGACGAUGCAAUCUCAACCACACUGCACACUGCCCUAACCCAUCUGGACAAGAGGAAUACCU